UACGGAGGGUGCGAGCGUUAUCCGGAAUUACUGGGUUUAAAGGGUGCGUAGGCUGCGCGGUAAGUCAGGAGUGAAAGUUUGCGGCUCAACCGUAAAAUUGCUUUUGAUACUGCUGUGCUAGAAUCAGGAUGAGGUUAGCGGAAUGUGGCAUGUAGCGGUGAAAUGCAUAGAUAUGCCAUAGAACACCGAUUGCGAAGGCAGCUGACUAGACCUGCAUUGACGCUGAGGCACGAAAGCGUGGGGAUCGAAC
rnacentral:rRNA from 1 species